rnacentral:piRNA from 1 species
UGGGGACCCUUGGCAGCCUUGCAGCA